ACCUAAUUUUAGGAAAAAACUAGGAAACCAUUAAGUGAUCUACGAAAUCAAGAUUCUAGGUAAGGGGUUCAAGUUAUUUCGAAGGGAAGGUGUUAGGCAUCCUUCGAAAUCCACAACUGUGGAUCCCGACUGGAUUCAUUUUUUCAAAUUGAGGAGGAGGUAAAAAUAAUAUACAAAUAUAACAAACAUGCAAUAUACACAAGUAAUAAAGUAAACAAGUAAUAUGAGAAACGACCUAAUAUUUGCC
rnacentral:lncRNA from 1 species